rnacentral:other from 1 species
CUAACCCUGGGGUGUUGGCCAGUUGUCCACGUCCUCGAGCCUAUGCUUUACUUCUGGAAAGCUUCUUGCUUUUGCCCGUGUGCAAGUCCACCUUAAGUGGAAAGCCUUAGGUAAAACAGUCGCUUCCACCUUGAACUUUAGGGUUCAAGGGCCACGGAUAACAGCGGCACUCCCGGGGCUCCA